rnacentral:rRNA from 1 species
AACGAACGCUGGCGGCAUGUCUAACACAUGCAAGUCGAACGAGACCUUCGGGUCUAGUGGCGCACGGGUGCGUAACGCGUGGGAACCUGCCCUUAGGUUCGGAAUAACUCCCCGAAAGGGGUGCUAAUACCGGAUAAUGUCUUCGGACCAAAGAUUUAUCGCCCUUGGAUGGGCCCGCGUUGGAUUAGCUUGUUGGUAGGGGAAAAGCCUACCACGGCGAGGAUCCAUAGCUGGUCUGAGAGGCUGAUCAGCCACACUGGGACUGAGACGCGGCCCAGACUCCUACGGGAGGCAGCAGUGGGGAAUAUUGGACAAUGGGCGGAAGCCUGAUCCAGCAAUGCCGCGUGAGUGAUGAAGGCCUUAGGGUUGUAAAGCUCUUUUACCCGGGAUGAUAAUGACAGUACCGGGAGAAUAAGCACCGGCUAACUCCGUG